GCAAUGAAAGACAGUAUCUAAUUAGGUUGUUAUCAAAAAUACUAUGUGUGAAUAAGUCCAUCAUAUAGGGCUGGUGUGUAUCUAAAUUCAUGCUUCUAUUUCACUGUUACUCAAAACAGUUUUAUAUUAUGUUGAACAGUGAAAUUAUAAUUUAAUUUCAUGGGGACGGGCAGUGCUAUAGUUCCUGGAAAAAUUAGAUUUGUAUUAUCUUUAUUUCACACCUACCACCUUAGAAAAAUCAACUAGUUGUCAUUGAAAACAUUUAAAACUUUGAGUCUUCAAAUACAUUUGAUGUUAAUGCUGUCAUUACUUGCACUUUGAUUCACUAAUAACAUUUCUAGGUAGUUACCAGUUUUGUCAUUUUUCUGGAAAAUAUUUUGGAGUUGUAAAUUGUUUCUCUUUUUCUUCUAGAGUUACAAAUUGAAUUUUUAAAUCCAAGCACCUUUGUUGUGGUGUGGAGAGAAGUAUCACAAUUUUAUGUUUAUUUUACCUUCUCAACCUUCUCUUGGGGUACUUUGCAAAUACCUGAGUCUAAACAGAAGUACCAAAUACAUGCUCUAUGAACUCUAUCCUUAGUAAAUCUAUUAAACCUGAAUAACUUAAAAGAUCAUGUGUGUUUUGUAAUAGCAAAAUUUGAUUUUAAUUUUUUAUUUGGAAUUGGUGUAUUUAUCAUGGGGACUUCCAGUUUUUCUUCACUUUGCAAAUGGAUAUUGGCUAUAGUUUUAUGUUUUAAUGGGAAUGAAUUUCAAGUCAAUUAAUAAUCAGAAAAUUUUUAGUUUUACUUUUUUCUUUUACAAUAUGGACUUUUGUUGUUAUUUGGAUAGUAGUUCAAUAAAUCUUAAGCUCAGAUAAUUAAACACUAUUUUGAAUCUUAACAAGAUACUGAGCAUUUUUUUGUAUGGGAUGAUAUCAGCCUAUGUACAAUGAAUUUAAUAAACUUAAGUAUUAUCAGAUAUUUUGCACAUUUUAGAUCAAUAAAAUCUGAAUUAACUGUUCAAGAUUUUUUUAUCUGUAUUUGGAAAUAUAAUUUUGUAAAAUCAAUGUCUUACCUUUUUAUUACAAUAGAUCAUGUUUUGUAUUCAAU
rnacentral:lncRNA from 1 species